UGUUUCAAUCCAAUAUGAAAAGGAAUCUAUUGAAAAGAAUUUAAAGAGUUCAUUGAUAAAUGAUAAUGUACAAAUUGAAUCCAAAAAUAGAAUAGGAAAAGCAACCAAUUCAUUAUUAAGUAAUAAAACAUCAUUAUUAAAAUAUGAAGAAUUAAAUACUGUAUUUGAUACUGUGAACGACGACGGAAGACAAUUUGCACAAGGGAUAUCUACAGAAAUUAAUGAUUCAGCAGAUGACUGUUCAAUAAAGGAAACAAAUGUGAGCUUUACAAAAGAACAAAAAACAACCGAUGAAAUUAUAAUUGCUAGUUCGACAAGUA